AUGCAUACUGAUGAUAGGGCCCAUGGUGCGCAUCCAAACUUUUGUGGCCAUAAUGGUGCUUCGUCGUCCAUUUCUCUAGAAAAUGUGAAGCAUGCCACCCUGUGUGGUUUGUCGGCAGCGGCAAUUAAGUCUAAACUCUUUGCGGAUCAGGAGGAACGUGAAAUCCAAAGACUAGUUGCUACCAUGAUAAAUCAUCAGUUGAAGAGGCUGGAGUUAAAGCUGAAGCAGUUUGCUGAAGUCGAGACCUUACUUUUGAAGGAAUGCGAGCAAGUGGAGAGAGCCAGGCAGAGGAUUUCAGCUGGCCGUAUCCAGGCGAUGCGAGCCUGCUCAAAUCCCCUGGAAACUUGUCUGCCCACCAGUGGCAGUAGCACUAUGUCACCCAAUCCAAUGAAUAUAAGCCCUAGACCGUUGGCCGUGCCGCGUUCCAUGGCUGAAGCUACGGUACAAGCGGCAUACCCUAAUAACAUGCAGGGGCAGGGGCAUCCACAAAUGCCGUUCGUGCAGCGGCGGCCACAGAUGCUCUCGUUUGGGCCUCGCUUACCGUUUUCAGCUAACCAAACUCAGCCACUUGCACAGGCGCCGAACAUUAUGUUCAGCUCUGGUGCAAUGCUCGGUUCGGUAACUCCAAAUCAUCAUCAUCAGCUGUUGAGGUCGUCAUCUUCAGGAAACAAUUCUACUCUAGGAUAG
rnacentral:rRNA from 1 species